rnacentral:rRNA from 1 species
AGUUUGAUCAUGGCUCAGGACACGCUGGCGGUGUGCUUCACACAUGCAAGUCGAACGAGGUAGCAAUACCUAGUGGCGGACGGGUGAGUAACGCGUGGGAAUCUGCCUUUAGAUGGGGGAUAACGGGUCGAAAGACUCGCUAAUACCGCAUAUGACGAAAGUUGAAAGGAGUAAUCCGUCUAAAGAUGAGCCCGCGUCCGAUUAGCUAGUUGGUAGAGUAAAAGCCUACCAAGGCGACGAUCGGUAGCUGGUCUGAGAGGAUGAUCAGCCACAAUGGGACUGAGACACGGCCCAUACUCCUACGGGAGGCAGCAGUGGGGAAUUUUACGCAAUGGGCGAAAGCCUGACGUAGCGACACCGCGUGAGCGAAGAAGCCCCUUGGGGUGUAAAGCUCUGUCAGCUGGAACGAAAAAAUGACGGUACCAGCAGAGGAAGCAUCGGCUAACUACGUG